UGUCAAUCCCUCAAUGUAUCUAUGUAACUAUUUUAUUGACUGAUAGGCAAGUACCUACUGUCUUUGGGAAUGACAAUAUAAUGCGUGAGAAACUUAUGGUAUCACUGUUUCAAACUCGGAAAGUUAAUCAUAAAUUUGCUUUUUUUUUACAAAAAUAUCCUUCAAGAGAAAACCGACACAGCCAUGCCAUCUUAACAUGUCCUCCGCUAGGACUCACCAAUCAGCAUCCAGCACAACUCGCUCCACAUCUUUUAACACCUAAUAAUUCUACCUCAACCUUGGUCCACCAAAUAUAAGGUGGAUUUCUUUCCAUACACCAUGAUGCGUGGCCAGCUAUAAGAGCCGCCUAUUUCGUAUAUUGUCUAUGUUUGAUUUCUGAUGUAGUUCUUUAAUCAACAAAUUAUGUCUAAUUCUGCAUUAUCCUGUAUUCCUAUCCUUUUUGUAAAGGCCAAAGAUCACCUCAGAAUUUUUCAUUCAAAUACUAAAACGUUAUUCUGUUGUAUUAUCCAGUGCUUGAAUUAGGAAAAAUUAAGUAGAGCAGCUCAAUCCAACGAUUUAAAAACUGCGCUCUAAGUGCAUAAUCACUUAACAGAUUCGUGGAGUU